CUAAAUGACUCUCGGCAAUGGAUAUCUCGGCUCUUGCAUCGAUGAAGAACGUAGCGAAAUGCGAUACUUGGUGUGAAUUGCAGAAUCCCGUGAACCAUCGAGUCUUUGAACGCAAGUUGCGCCUGAAGCCAUCAGGUUGAAGGCACGUCUGCCUGGGCGUCACGCAU
rnacentral:rRNA from 2 species